UCCCUAGGUUGUUCCCAUGGCUACAACUCCCACUGCGCAGCCGCACUGCUGCGGCUGGGGGCCCUCGCUGGGCUCCCGUGGCGCUAUUGCCUCCCUUUGCACCUUCCGGUCUGCGUGUUGUGAUGGCUCCCUCUGAUGGCAGUCGCUGGAUGCUUCAUCCACGUGUAGUGGUUUUCUUUCCUCUGCACACCUCUCAGUACAUACUCCAGCUGGGACAAUCUUUUCAGAUGAACACCCUGUUUUUAUCCCAGUCUGAUAAAUUUUUCUUGAAAAGAGGUCAAACAGGAAAGCAAACCUUCCUCUGCCUGUCUCAGUGCAAUCAUGAAGAUCACGCAAGAUAGUCCCUGUUGGAGUGUGUGUGCUUCAGCAGUGCAGAGCAUUCAAAGGUUUGAGGUGAAGGCCAAAAUAGAAAUUGCCAUCAAGCUCCAGAUGAUCCUCAGUGAGGGAUACCGCUCUCUCAGUAUUCAAGAGUCACCCUUCCACAGAGAAGCCCUAGACUGCCCAUCAGUGGAAUAUGAGAGAGCCUGCACCAGAUGCAACUCCUAUAGAAGAGGGAAAUCCUGAACUGACUGAGCGAACUCUCAGAAUUGACCAUGAUUCACAUUUUUACCCUUGACGGAAAAAGGAUUCAAGGAACACAUUACAUUUCUGUUUUAGAAAAAUAAAGUUGUAUUUUUGCAUACCUGAA
rnacentral:lncRNA from 1 species